rnacentral:tRNA from 1 species
GCGCUCGCGCGCCGUGUCGCACCCUUCGGGUGCUGGCGCUCCGCGAGGGCGCGGCACGAGCCGCGACGGCCUGUCGGCCUUGCGAGGCUCUGCCUCGAUGCCGGCUAACAUCUGCGCUUGGGGCUUAGGGCUUGUAGCUCAGUUGGUUAGAGCGCGCGCUUGAUAAGCGUGAGGUCGGAGGUUCAAGUCCUCCCAGGCCCACCACUUCUCCUUGAUAUCUAUGGGGAAAACAAUCAGGGGCCGUAGCUCAGCUGGGAGAGCGCCUGCUUUGCAAGCAGGAUGUCGUCGGUUCGAUCCCGUCCGGCUCCACCACUUCCCUGGAAGAGGUGUCGAGUAGAGAUGAAGAGAAAAGUCAUUCGUAAAAAGGUUUUGUGGUGAGCAUCUAGCUUGCCGCUUGUUCUGUUUGACAUUGUAAAGAGAAGAUUUGUUCGAACUUCAUGAGCUUGAAAAGGUUUGUGAUUUGUCGCGGGAGACGCUCAAUCUCCCGCAUAUGAUGGGCUUGCCUAACCGCACCCUCGAACCGAUCUCGAGAAGCUGGUCUUUUUGUGCCAAU